rnacentral:rRNA from 1 species
GACGAACGCUGGCGGCGUGCUUAACACAUGCAAGUCGAACGGAAAGGCCCUGCUUUUGUGUGGUGCUCGAGUGGCGAACGGGUGAGUAACACGUGAGUAACCUGCCCUUGACUUUGGGAUAACUUCAGGAAACUGGGGCUAAUACCGGAUAGGAGCUCCUGCUGCAUGGUGGGGGUUGGAAAGUUUCGGCGGUUGGGGAUGGACUCGCGGCUUAUCAGCUUGUUGGUGGGGUAGUGGCUUACCAAGGCUUUGACGGGUAGCCGGCCUGAGAGGGUGACCGGCCACAUUGGGACUGAGAUACGGACCAGACUCCUACGGGAGGCAGCAGUGGGGAAUAUUGCACAAUGGGCGGAAGCCUGAUGCAGCAACGCCGCGUGCGGGAUGACGGCCUUCGGGUUGUAAACCGCUGUCGCCUGUGACGAAGCGUGAGUGACGGUAAUGGGUAAAGAAGCACCGGCUAACUACGUG